rnacentral:lncRNA from 1 species
UGGGAUAAAGAGAAAAUCUAAAAAGACAAUUUUCGAGGCCUUGAUUGCUCGUUCUCCCUCAAGGGCUUCUGGCACUGCCUCUAUAUGUAAUACUCAUGUAAGAGCAUGUAGCCAGAGCCUUGAGCAGAACGAAAAUUCAAUGUCUUGAUGUUACACAAUCUUAGCAAGUCAAAAUCGAUAUAUCGGGUUCAAAAAAUUGGGUAAAGACGUAAACAGUGGCGAAGCUUGACAAUGAAGACUAGUGGCGAAGCUUGACCCGAAUGGG